rnacentral:rRNA from 1 species
GAUGAACGCUAGCUACAGGCUUAACACAUGCAAGUCGAGGGGAAACGAUGAGAGAGCUUGCUCUCUUAGGCGUCGACCGGCGCACGGGUGAGUAACGCGUAUCCAACCUGCCCAUUACAGGGGGAUAACCUUGCGAAAGUAAGACUAAUACCCCAUGGCAUUUUAUGGUGGCAUCAUUAUAGGAUUAAAGAUUUAUUGGUAAUGGAUGGGGAUGCGUCUGAUUAGCUUGUUGGCGGGGUAACGGCCCACCAAGGCAACGAUCAGUAGGGGUUCUGAGAGGAAGGUCCCCCACAUUGGAACUGAGACACGGUCCAAACUCCUACGGGAGGCAGCAGUGAGGAAUAUUGGUCAAUGGGCGAGAGCUUGAACCAGCCAAGUAGCGUGCAGGAUGACGGCCCUAUGGGUUGUAAACUGCUUUUAUAGGGGAAUAAAGUGAGCUACGUGUAGUUUAUUGCAUGUACCCUAUGAAUAAGGACCGGCUAAUUCCGUG